rnacentral:rRNA from 1 species
UACGGAGGGAGCUAGCGUUAUUCGGAAUUACUGGGCGGAAAGCGCACGUAGGCGGCUUUGUAAGUUAGAGGUGAAAGCCCAGGGCUUAACCCUGGAAUUGCCUUUAAGACUGCAUCGCUAGAAUCGUGGAGAGGUGAGUGGAAUUCCGAGUGUAGAGGUGAAAUUCGUAGAUAUUCGGAAGAACACCAGUGGCGAAGGCGACUCACUGGACACGUAUUGACGCUGAGGUGCGAAAGCGUGGGGAGCAAACAGG